AGGGAAUGUUUAAUUAAUUGCUAAUUACGCGAUUCUUCCAUGAAAAAAAUUAAAUUAAAAAAAAUUGCUAUAAUAAAUAUCGGCUGUCUAUAAAACCCAUCGUCGAAUGACUUGUAACAAAGUAAUAACUAAUAUAAAUAUCGUGUACGGCGGCUGUUUUUAUUACGUUGUUAAGCAGGUACUCACCGAGUCACUAUUAAAUGGCCAUCGACAGCUGUAUUGGACAUCAUCAUUGGCGCUGCUGUUCUGACAAACGACUAGGUAUUACAACGGCAUGCACUUUUAUUUUAAUUGUUCGUAAAUGCGUAUUCGUAAACGUCAGCGGGAAAACAAUAUUACACAAAUGUUGACGGUGAAAAAAAAGACAUUACGUUAAUACAAAAUAAUAUGCGAAAACUCGAUACCGGCUGCGCGAACGACGCCGGGCGGACUCGACACUGAAGAGUUGUCG